UACGUAGGGUGCAAGCGUUAAUCGGAAUUACUGGGCGUAAAGCGUGCGCAGGCGGUUAUGUAAGACAGGUGUGAAAUCCCCGGGCUUAACCUGGGAACUGCAUUUGUGACUGCAUAGCUAGAGUACGGUAGAGGGGGAUGGAAUUCCGCGUGUAGCAGUGAAAUGCGUAGAUAUGCGGAGGAACACCGAUGGCGAAGGCAAUCCCCUGGACCUGUACUGACGCUCAUG
rnacentral:rRNA from 1 species